GUUAUACUCCCUCCGUCCGAAAAUACUUGUCAUUGAAAUGGAUGUAUCUAGAUGUAUUUUAGUUCUAGAUACAUCCAUUUUCAUCCAUUUUGAUGACAAGUAAUUCCGGACGGAGGGAGUACCUA
rnacentral:pre_miRNA from 1 species